UACGAAGGGGGCUAGCGUUGCUCGGAAUCACUGGGCGUAAAGCGCACGUAGGCGGCUUUUUAAGUCAGAGGUGAAAUCCUGGGGCUCAACUCCAGAACUGCCUUUGAUACUGGAGAGCUUGAGUCCGGGAGAGGUGAGUGGAACUGCGAGUGUAGAGGUGAAAUUCGUAGAUAUUCGCAAGAACACCAGUGGCGAAGGCGGCUCACUGGCCCGGUACUGACGCUGAGGUGCGAAAGCGUGGGGAGCAAACAGG
rnacentral:rRNA from 1 species